UCGGGUGUGGUGCAUGGUGCACGGCAGUGUCUUGUAGAAAAGUGGUGGCUUUGAAAAAAAAAAACCCAAGCUGCAGAUCGGGGACCGGGGUUCGACUCCCCGCACCCGAA